ACAGGCCCAAAACGGUACAUUUUCUGACCUAUUAGGAUUUCCAGGCCAUAAUCCUGGCGGUCAAGAUGAUAUUGUUUUGACGGACGAGCAACUGGCGGCAGUGGCAAGCGGAAGCAAACCGACGUCACUUGACACGGUCAUGUCAGCUCGCCCCGGAGGAGACAUCACGUCACCAAGAUAUCCUCAAAGACACUUCAAGAAUAUGUAUUGCGAA